AAAAAUAAGACAUAAAAAGUUAAGAGUUCAUUUGAAACCCUAGGCUUACGCGGGACUGAUGGCGCUUCCUGACUCUCUCUUUCAAUCAUGAAUCUGAUAGCCUCAAUCGCUUCUUCUCCAUUCCUGAUACCUUCAUCUUCCCAUCUCUUUCAUUCCCUUAUUCCCAGCAGUCAUCUACUCAUCUACUCAUCUUAAUGGAAGGCCAAAGCACAUGAUAUGUUGGUCGUCCCGAUCUCCGCUUCUAAAAGUGUAUUUAGUACGGGUGGAAGCGUUAAUCCUUUUAGGAGUUCUCUUACUCCUAAAGUUGUGGAGAGUCUAAUUAGUGCUCAAGAUUGGCUUCGUUCAUCCCCUAUUCCUAAUGUUGAAGAAGCGUUGGAAGAUCUUGAACAACUUGAAGAAGAUUUGAGUAAAAUGGUGUUGGAAGAUCUCAGUGAUGAUGGCUCAACAUAUCUCAACACCAUUGAAAUUGAAGAUUGAUGAAAAGGUGGAUGGUGGUUGAAGAUUUCAUUGAGUGUUGGAGAUUCAAGUUUGUGUUUGAUGUUGGAGCGAACUGUUUAUGGAAUUUGUAUUUUGUAAUGAACUUUUAAAUUUGUUUGAAUGUUUGAUGAACAUUUUAAGUUGUUUUUGUCUAUUUUUAAUGAACACUUUAAAUUGUAAUAAAUGGAUCUAUUGUUGGAAAUUUUCUAUUGGAAUCGAUUCUGUCAAUACAAUGACCUACUUUUGGAGC